GGUCAUCGAGGCAUCAUAAUAAUUUCAAAACUCAGUCUCAUAUAUCAUAUCUGAGUGACAAUUCUAGUCUAGAAUUGCACUCAAGAUCGUAAAAUCACCGAGGCAUCCAAACAUUUACAAAAUUUAAUGGAACAAAUAAUAUCUGUCAAUUCUUUUCGGGUCAUCGAUCAAGGCAUCGUAAUAAUUUCAAAACUCAGGCUCAUAUAUCAUAUCCGAGUGACAAUUCUAGUCUAGAAUUGCACUCAAGAUUGUAAAAUCACCGAGGCAUCCCAACAUUUACAAAAUUUAAUGGAACGAAUAAAUAUCCGUCAAUUCUUUUCGGGUCAUCGAUCAAAGCAUCGUAAUAAUUUCAAAACUCAGGCUCAUAUACAUUAUUUUCUUCCUUUGAAAUGUAUCUCAAUUUCUUUUAUAUACGUAAACUUUGAGAUGCCUAUACCAUAUUUUGCAUAAACUUAACAAUUCUCAAUCAAAAUUAGGAAUCAGGAAAUAUGAAUAAUGAGAAUACCUCCAAAUUGCAAGAUUUUCAAAUUGUUGCAACAUAUAAGUAUAAAACGUUUUGAAUAUUAUCACUUAUGCCUUUGAAGAACUUUUGAAGAACCAAGAACUUCAUCAACUCCUUCGAUAGAGUCAUUCAAAUAUACCUCGACUCCAAAAGCUAAGAGUAUAAUUUAUCCCUCAAGACUAACAGUAGAUGGCUAGUCACUUAAACUAUAAAGUCCCUCAUCCUAUGGUGACCGACUUGUAGGCUCAAAAAGAACAGUCUUAGAAUUUUAUUGAGUCAUAAAAGUGCAACAGGGACCAUCCCUUACGUAAUGAAUAAAAAUCCACACCAAUAUCACAUUUAAGGCAUUAUCUAGCCUUCACAUUAUAAGUUAAGUGUGACUGAAGUUUCGAUACAUCCCAACACUUACAAAAUUAAGUCUCAUAUUUCAUCUCUCAUACACAAAAUUUCUACAUAUUCAUUCCUUUAGGGUUGUCAAGGCACCCUAAACAUUUCAAAAUUUAGGCUCAUAUAUGAAGGGUUUGUCUACAUUUGUAUAAAGCAGAAGAUUGAAAGUUCUUGUGAAAAUAGUUAGCCUAACAACAUGCACCAAAUAUUAUAAAACCAAAAGGAUUUGUGGAAAUUUCAUUACCUUGACUAACAAACAAAUUGUCUUUCAAAACAUCAGUACCAAAAGGGUCUCCAUACAAAAGCAAAGUUUGCUGAAUCAUUCUGGUACUACCAAUUCCACUAUUAAAAAAUUCAAGAAUUAAAACCUGAAAAGCAAGAGAGGUAUAAAUGUUACCAUUGAAGGUGAAACUGCAAAUUUUUAAAUUGCAUGUUUUAAAGAAGAUGAAAGGACCGAACAAUGUGUGUUUCAUCUUAUUUAAACACAUCAUAACCUCUGAAGAGGAAUGCAGAGAAGUAAGAGAAGUAAUGAGGCAUCCCAUAUAGCACGCAAUGACAAAUCACAGUCUAAAAGUGAACUCGAUGCCAUAAAAACACAACGAAUACUAGUAUUUUCGGAUUGACUUUUCCACAACUGGGUGCACGUCCCAAUGCCAUGUUUUCUGAGAAGCUACAAAAUGAAACUUCAGCACAGAUGUGUGUUUGGUGUGAUUCUACCAUGGAAACAGACAUGCAAUACAAAGCUUUAUAUUAUGAAUACAAAUUCAUAUCAAUAUCGCUCGCAUGUAAGACAUCAUCAAACUUUAAAUUAUGAUUGCAGUGUUCAUGAUGUUCCUUUUAGGGUCAAAUGAGGCAUCCCAUCUCAAAAUUCAUUGAACAAAUAAUAUUCAUAAUUCAUAUUCUUUUCGGGUCAUCGAGGCAUCCUAUAUUCCAUCUCAAUGUGGCAAUUUACAAUUUAGAAUUGCAUUCAGGGUUAUAAAAGCACACAAUGGAUCCAUCCAUUAUAUUACGAAUAAAAAUUCAUAACAAAAUCAAAUUUAAGGCAUCAUACAACUUUUACAUUGUGAGUGAAGUAUUCGUAAUGUUUCCUUUAGGGUCAUCGAGGCAUUCACACACCUGCAACAUUUAUAGAACAUAUAAUAUCCAUUGAUUCAUUUAGGAUCAUCAAGGCAUCUAACAUUUCAUCUCGUAGUGGCAAUCGAUAGUCUAGAAUUGCAUUCAGGGUUAUAAAAGUACGACGAAUCCAUCCCUUAUAUUAUGAAUAAAGAUUGAUAUUAGGGUCAUCGAUUUUUACAUUAUGAGUGAAGUGUUCAAAAUAUUUCCUUUAGGAUCAUUGAGGCAUCCAAACACUUGUAACAUUUAUGAAACAAAUCAUAAUCAUUAAUUCUUUUCGGGUCAUAGAGACAUUAUGAAUGAAUAAAAAUUCAUAACAAUUUCACAUUUAAGGCAUCAUCCAACCUUUAUAUUAUGGGUAAAGUGUUCAUAAUGUUUGCUUCAGGGUCAUUUAGGCAUCUUGUAACACUUCUGAGAUAAAUAAUAUCCAUCAAUUCCUUUCGGGUCAUCGAGGCAUCAUUUCAAAACCCAGGCUCAAAUAUCAUAUGGGUCAUCGAGGCAUGCAAACACUUGCAAUAUUUAUGGGACAAAUAAUAUCGAUCAAUUCCUUUCGGGUCAUUGAGACAUUAUAAUAAUUUCAAAACUCAGGCUCAUAUAUCAUAUUUGAGUGACAAUUCAUAGUCUAGAAUUGCACUCAAGAUCAUAUAUAAUCACUGAGACAUCUCAACAUUUAGAAAAUAGUUUCCUUUAAAAUCACCGAGGCAUCCCAACAUUUACAAAAUUUAAUGGGACAAAUUAUGUCCAUCAAUUCUUUUCGGGACAUCAAGGCAUCAUAAUAAUUUCAAAACUCAGGCUCAUAUAUUUGAGUGACAAUUCAUAGUCUAGAAUUGCACUCAAGAUCGUAAAAUCACUGAGGCAUCCCAACAUUUACAAAAUGUAGAUUUCUUUAAAAUCACCGAGGCAUCCCAACAUUUACAAAAUUUAAUGGGACAAAUAAUAUCCGUUAAUUAGGGUUGGGAAUAGGCCAGGCUGGCAUACAGGGGCCUACGGCCUAGCCUGUUUUGGCCUGGUCUGGCCUGACCUGUUUAGUAGAUAGGCUUAGGCUUAGGCUUUUUAAAAAGCUUGUUUAGUUAAAUAGGUCAGGCUUAGGCUUUCAGAAAAGCCUGUUAAGUCUAAUAGGCCGACCUAUUAAUACUUAUUUAUUAAAAAAUAUUUUUUAUAUUAAAAUAAUUGCAUAAAUUAAAAAUAUAAACAUCUUUUUCUCUAUCUAUUAGUCCCUAAAUAGGUUUUGUUGUUAUAGGCUUUUAAGUAGACUUUAAUCUAGUUAAAAUUUACUUGUAGUUAAAUAGGCUUUUAAGUAGGCUUUAAGGCAUGUUUAGCUUAUUUAGUAGGCCAAAUGAACUAUUUGAUGACCUUAAUAUAAAGUAGGCCUGUAAGUAGGCUUUCAGGCCAGUCCAGGCUUUUAAAUAGGUCAGGCCAGGCCAAGAAAAACGGCCUAUAAUAGGCCACAGGCCAGGCUCAGGCUUGUAAAUUUUUUCGUAGGCCAGGCUCAGGCCUAUCAAAGCCUGGCCUGGCCUAUUCCCACCCCUACCGUCAAUUCUUUUCGGGUCAUCGAUCAAGGCAUCGUAAUAAUUUCAAAACUCAGGCUCAUAUAUCAUAUCUGAGUGACAAUUUUAGUCUAGAAUUGCACUCAAGAUUGUAAAAUCACAGAUGCAUCCCAACAUUUACAAUAUUUAAUGGAAAAAAUAAUAUCCGUCAAUUCUUUUCGGGUCAUCGAUCAAGGCAUCGUAAUAAUUUCAAAACUCAGGCUCAUAUAUCAUAUCUGAGUGACAAUUUUAGUCUAGAAUUGCACUCAAGAUUGUAAAAUCACCGAGGCAUCCCAACAUUUACAAAAUUUAAUGGAACAAAUAAUUUCCGUCAAUUCUUUUCGGGUCAUCGAUCAAGGCAUCAUAAUAAUUUCAAAACUCAGGCUCAUAUAUCAUAUCUGAGUGACAAUUCUAGUCUAGAAUUGCACUCAAGAUCGUAAAAUCACCGACUCAUCCUAACAUUUACAAAAUUUAAUGGAACAAAUAAUAUCUGUCAAUUCUUUUCGGGUCAUCGAUCAAGACAUCGUAAUAAUUUCAAAACUCAGGCUCAUAUAUCAUAUCCGAGUGACAAUUCUAGUCUAGAAUUGCACUCAAGAUUGUAAAAUCACCGAGGCAUCCCAAAAUUUACAAAAUUUAAUGGAACGAAUAAUAUCUGUCAAUUCUUUUCGGGUCAUCGAUCAAGGCAUCGUAAUAAUUUCAAAACUCAGGCUUAUAUAUCAUAUCUGAGUGACAAUUUUAGUCUAGAAUUGCACUCAAGAUUGUAAAAUCACCGAGACAUCCCAACAUUUACAAAAUUUAAUGGAACAAAUAAUUUCCAUCAAUUCUUUUCGGGUAAUCGAUCAAGGCAUCGUAAUAAUUUCAAAACUCAGGCUCAUAUAUCAUAUCUGAGUGACAAUUUUAGUCUAGAAUUGCACUCAAGAUUGUAAAAUCACCGAGGCAUCCCAACAUUUACAAAAUUUAAUGGAACAAAUAAUUUCCGUUAAUUCUUUUCUGGUCAUCGAUCAAUACAUCCUAAUAAUUUCAAAACUCGGGCUCAUAUAUCAUAUCUGAGUGACAAUUCUAGUCUAGAAUUGCACUCAAGAUCGUAAAAUCACCGAGGCAUCCAAACAUUUACAAAAUUUAAUGGAACAAAUAAUAUCUGUCAAUUCUUUUCGGGUCAUCGACCAAGGCAUCCUAAUAAUUUCAAAACUCAGGCUCAUAUAUCAUAUCCGAGUGACAAUUCUGGUCUAGAAUUGCACUCAAGAUUGUAAAAUCACCGACGCAACCCAACAUUUACAAAAUUUAAUGGAACGAAUAAUAUCCGUCAAUUUUUUUCUUCCUUUGAAAUGUAUCUCAAUUUCUUUUAUAUACGUAAACUUUGAGAUGCCUAUUCCACAUUUUGCAUAAACUUAACAACUCUCAAUCAAAAUUAGGAAUCAGGAAAUAUGAAUAAUGAGAAUACCUCCAAAUUGCAAGAUUUUCAAAUUGUUGCAACAUAUAAGUAUAAAACGUUUUGAAUAUUAUCACUUAUGCCUUUGAAGAACUUUUGAAGAACCAAGAACUUCAUCAACUCCUUCGAUAGAGUCAUUCAAAUAUACCUCGACUCCAAAAGCUAAGAGUAUAAUUUAUCCCUCAAGACUAACAGUAGAUGGCUAGUCACUUAAACUAUAAAGUCCCUCAUCCUAUGGUGACCGACUUGUAGGCUCAAAAAGAACAGUCUUAGAAUUUUAUUGAGUCAUAAAAGUGCAACAGGUACCAUCCCUUACGUAAUGAAUAAAAAUCCACACCAAUAUCACAUUUAAGGCAUUAUCUAGCCUUCACAUUAUAAGUGAAGUUUCGAUACAUCCCAACACUUACACAAUUAAGUCUCAUAUUUCAUCUCUCAUACACAAAAUUUCUACAUAUUCAUUCCUUUAUGGUUGUCAAGGCACCCUAAACAUUUCAAAAUUUAGGCUCAUAUAUGAAGGGUUUGUCUACAUUUGUAUAAAGCAGAAGAUUGAAAGUUCUUGUGAAAAUAGUUAGCCUAACAACAUGCACCAAAUAUUAUAAAACCAAAAGGAUUUGUGGAAAUUUCAUUACCUUGACUAACAAACAAAUUGUCUUUCAAAACAUCAGUACCAAAAGGGUCUCCAUACAAAAGCAAAGUUUGCUGAAUCAUUCUGGUACUACCAAUUCCACUAUUAAAAAAUUCAAGAAUUAAAACCUGAAAAGCAAGAGAGGUAUAAAUUUUACCAUUGAAGGUGAAACUGCAAAUUUUUAAAUUGCAUGUUUUAAAGAAGAUGAAAGGACCGAACAAUGUGUGUUUCAUCUUAUUUAAACACAUCAUAACCUCUGAAGAGGAAUGUAGAGAAGUAAUGAGGCAUCCCAUAUAGCACGUAAUGACAAAUCACAGUCUAAAAGUGAACUCGAUGCCAUAAAAACACAACGAAUACUAGUAUUUUUGGAUUGACUUUUCCACAACUGGGUGCACGUCCCAAUGCCAUGUUUUCUGAGAAGCUACAAAAUGAAACUUCAGCACAGAUGUGUGUUUGGUGUGAUUCUACCAUGGAAACAGACAUGCAAUACAAAGCUUUAUAUUAUGAAUACAAAUUCAUAUCAAUAUCGCUCGCAUGUAAGACAUCAUCAAACUUUAAAUUAUGAUUGCAGUGUUCAUGAAGUUCCUUUUAGGGUCAAAUGAGGCAUCCCAUCUCAAAAUUCAUGGAACAAAUAAUAUUCAUGAUUCAUAUUCUUUUCGGGUCAUCGAGGCAUCCUAUAUUCCAUCUCAAUGUGGCAAUUUACAAUUUAGAAUUGCGUUCAGGGUCAUAAAAGCACACAAUGGAUCCAUCCAUUAUAUUACGAAUAAAAAUUCAUAACAAAAUCACAUUUAAGGCAUCAUACAACUUUUACAUUGUGAGUGAAGUAUUCGUAAUGUUUCCUUUAGUGUCAUCGAGGCAUCCACACACCUGCAACAUUUAUGGAACAUUUAAUAUCCAUUGAUUCAUUUAGGAUCAUCAAGGCAUCUAACAUUUCAUCUCGUAGUGGCAAUCGAUAGUCUAGAAUUGCAUUCAGGGUUAUAAAAGUACGACGAAUCCAUCCCUUAUAUUAUGAAUAAAGAUUGAUAUUAGGGUCAUCGAUUUUUACACUAUGAGUGAAGUGUUCAAAAUAUUUCCUUUAGGGUCAUUGAGGCAUCCAAACACUUGUAACAUUUAUGAAACAAAUCAUAUCCAUUAAUUUUUUUCGGGUCAUAGAUGCAUUAUGAAUGAAUAAAAAAAUUCAUAACAAUCUCACAUUUAAGGCAUCAUCCAACCUUUAUAGUAUGGGUAAAGUGUUCAUAAUGUUUGCUUCAGGGUCAUCUAGGCAUCUUGUCACACUUCUGAGAUAAAUAAUAUCCAUCAAUUCCUUUCGGGUCAUCGAGGCAUCAUUUCAAAACCCAGGCUCAAAUAUCAUAUGGGUCAUCGAGGCAUGCAAACACUUGCAAUAUUUAUGGGACAAAUAAUAUCGAUCAAUUCCUUUUGGGUCAUUGAGGCAUUAUAAUAAUUUCAAAACUCAGACUCAUAUAUCAUAUUUGAGUGACAAUUCAUAGUCUAGAAUUGCACUCAAGAUCAUAUAUAAUCACUGAGACAUCUCAACAUUUAGAAAAUAGUUUCCUUUAAAAUCACCGAGGCAUCCCAACAUUUACAAAAUUUAAUGGGACAAAUUAUGUCCAUCAAUUCUUUUCGGGACAUCAAGGCAUCAUAAUAAUUUCAAAACUCAGGCUCAUAUAUUUGAGUGACAAUUCAUAGUCUAGAAUUGCACUCAAGAUCGUAAAAUCACCAAGGCAUCCCAACAUUUACAAAAUUCAAUGGGACAAAUUAUAUCCGUCAAUUAUUUUCGGGUCAUCGAGGCAUCAUAAUAAUCUCAAAACUCAGGCUCAUAUAUCAUAUCUAAGUGACAAUUCUAGUCUAGAAUUGCACUCAAUAUCGUAAAAUCACCGAGGCAUCCAAACAUUUACAAAAUUUAAUGGAACAAAUAAUAUAUGUCAAUUCUUUUCAGGUCAUCGAUCAAGGCAUCGUAAUAAUUUCAAAACUCAGGCUCAUAUAUCAUAUCCGAGUGACAAUUCUAGUCUAGAAUUGCACUCAAGAUUGUAAAAUCACCGAGGCAUCCCAACAUUUACAAAAUUUAAUGGAACAAAUAAUAUCCGUCAAUUCUUUUCGGGUCAUCGAUCAAGGCAUCGUAAUAAUUUCAAAACUCAGGCUCAUAUAAAUUAUUUUCUUCCUUUUAAAUGUAUCUCAAUUUCUUUUAUAUACGUAAACUUUGAGAUGCCUAUACCAUAUUUUGCAUAAACUUAACAACUCUCAAUCAAAAUUAUGAAUCAGGAAAUAUGAAUAAUGAGAAUACCUCCAAAUUGCAAGAUUUUCAAAUUGUUGCAACAUAUAAGUAUAAAACGUUUUGAAUAUUAUCACUUAUGCCUUUGAAGAACUUUUGAAGAACCAAGAACUUCAUCAACUCCUUCGAUAGAGUCAUUCAAAUAUACCUCGACUCCAAAAGCUAAGAGUAUAAUUUAUUCCUCAAGACUAACACUAGAUGGCUAGUCACUUAAACUAUAAAGUCCCUCAUCCUAUGCUGACCGACUUGUAGGCUCAAAAAGCACAGUCUUAAAAUUUUAUUGAGUCAUAAAAGUGCAACAGGUACCAUCCCUUAUGUAAUGAAUAAAAAUCCACACCAAUAUCACAUUUAAGGCAUUAUCUAGCCUUCACAUUAUAAGUUAAGUGUGACUGAAGUUUCGAUAUAUCCCAACACUUACAAAAUUAAGUCUCAUAUUUCAUCUCUCAUACACAAAAUUUCUACAUAUUCAUUCCUUUAGGGUUGUCAAGGCACCCUAAACAUUUCAAAAUUUAGGCUCAUAUAUGAAGGGUUUGUCUACAUUUGUAUAAAGCAGAAGAUUGAAAGUUCUUGUGAAAAUAGUUAGCCUAACAACAUGCACCAAAUAUUAUAAAACCAAAAGGAUUUGUGGAAAUUUCAUUACCUUGACUAACAAACAAAUUGUCUUUCAAAACAUCAGUACCAAAAGGGUCUCCAUACAAAAACAAAGUUUGCUGAAUCAUUCUGGUACUACCAAUUCCACUAUUAAAAAAUUCAAGAAUUAAAACCUGAAAAGCAAGAGAGGUAUAAAUGUUACCAUUGAAGGUGAGACUGCAAAUUUUUUAAAUUGCAUGUUUUAAAGAAGAUGAAAGGACGGAACAAUGUGUUUCAUCUUAUUUAAACACAUCAUAACCUCUGAAGAGGAAUGCAGAGAAGUAAGAGAAGUAAUGAGGCAUCCCAUAUAGCACGCAAUGACAAAUCGCAGUCUAAAAGUGAACUCGAUGCCAUAAAAACACAACAAAUACUAGUAUGUUUGGAUUGACUUUUCCACAACUGGGUGCACGUCCCAAUGCCACGUUUUCUGAGAAGCUACAAAAUGAAACUUCAGCACAGAUGUGUGUUUGGUGUGAUUCUACCAUGAAAACAGACAUGCAAUACAAAGCUUUAUAUUAUGAAUACAAAUUCAUAUCAAUAUCGCUCGCAUGUAAGACAUCGUCAAACUUUAAAUUAUGAUUGCAGUGUUCAUGAUGUUCCUUUUAGGGUCAAAUGAGGCAUCCCAUCUCAAAAUUCAUGGAACAAAUAAUAUUCAUGAUUCAUAUUCUUUUCGAGUCAUCGAGGCAUCCUAUAUUCCAUCUCAAUGUGGAAAUUUACAAUUUAGAAUUGCAUUCAGGCUCGUAUAUCAUAUCUGAGCGACAAUUCUAGUCUAGAAUUGCACUCAAGAUCGUAAAAUCAACAGGGCAUCCCAACAUUUACAAAAUUCAAUGGAACAAAUUAUAUCCGUCAAUUCUUUUCGGGUCAUCGAGGCAUUAUAAUAAUUUCAAAACUCAGGCUCAUAUAUCAUAUCUGAGUGACAAUUAUAGUCUAGAAUUGCACUCAAGAUCGUAAAAUCACCGAGGCAUCCAAACAUUUACAAAAUUUAAUGGAAUAAAUAAUAUCCGUCAAUUCUUUUCGGGUCAUCGAUCAAAGCAUCGUAAUAAUUUCAAAACUCAGGCUCAUAUAUCAUAUCUGAGUGACAAUUUUAGUCAAGAAUUGCACUCAAGAUUGUAAAAUCACCGAGGCAUCCCAACAUUUACAAAAUGUAAUGGAACAAAUAAUAUCCGUCAAUUCUUUUUGGGUCAUCGAUCAAGGCAUCAUAAUAAUUUCAAAACUCAGGCUCGUAUAUCAUAUCCAAGUGACAAUUCUAGUCUAGAAUUGCACUCAAGAUUGUAAAAUCACCGAGGCAUCCCAACAUUUACAAAAUUUAAUGGAACAAAUAAUAUCAUUCUUUUCGGGUCAUGGAUCAAGGCAUCAUAAUAAUUUCAAAACUUAAGCUCAUAUAUCAUAUCUGAGAGACAAUUCUAGUCUAGAUUUGCACUCAAGAUUGUAAAAUCACCGAGGCAUCCCAACAUUUACAAAAUUUAAUGGAACAAAUAAUAUCCGUCAAUUAUUUUUGGGUCAUCGAUCAAGGCAUCAACAAUUGUAGUCUAGAAUUGCACUUAAGAUUGUAAAAUCACCGAGGCAUCCCAACAUUUACAAAUUUAAUGGAACAAAUAAUAUCCGUCAAUUCUUUUCGGGUCAUCGAUCAAGACAUUAUAAUAAUUUCAAAACUCAGACUCAGAUAUAAUAUAUGAGUGACAAUUCUAGUCUAGAAUUGCACUCAAGAUUGUAAAAUCACCUAGGCAUCAUUUACAAAAUUUAAGGAGCAAAAAGUAAUAUGCAUCGUUUCCAUCCAUUACCUAAGAUUGUAUCAUCCUUUUCAAAUUACCAAAAUUGAUUUCAACUCAAAGAGGCGAUCACAGUAAAGAAUUAAAUUCAUGUCAUAAAAGAUAUCAUCCAACUCUACAUUAUGAAUUUUUUUAAGUCAAGGAAACCUAACGGUUUCAACAUUUAGGCUCAAAUAUUGUGAAAAAGAAUGAUCUUGCAGAGUUUCACACGUUUAUGGGGUUUGUUAAAUUGUACAGGGCUGUUGUUGUUAAAGCAGAAAAUUGAAGGUUGUUGAAUAAGGAAGAAUAUAGGGUUUAUGAAUAUUCAAGAAUCAAAAUCUAAAAAUCAAGAUAAAGUUAGAAAUGUACCGUUGAAAAUGAAAGGGGGACAGAACAGAGCGUGUUUCGUCGCUUUCUUGAAGAAAAAAGAAUUCGGCAACGAUUCCUACGAAACCUUUGAAUCGGAACGGUAUUGAUUUUCAUGUUUCGAUUCUUUGAAUUAUUUUAGAUUUAACGCAGUGUUUUCCAUUUAUCGGCUUUUCUACUGGGCUUUUGAUUUUAAUGGCAUGUUGAGC
rnacentral:lncRNA from 1 species